rnacentral:rRNA from 1 species
AUUGAACGCUGGCGGCAGGCCUAACACAUGCAAGUCGAGCGGAUGAGGGGAGCUUGCUCCUGGAUUCAGCGGCGGACGGGUGAGUAAUGCCUAGGAAUCUGCCUGGUAGUGGGGGAUAACGUCCCGAAAGGAACGCUAAUACCGCAUACGUCCUGCGGGAGAAAGUAGGGGAUCUUCGGGCCUUGCGCUAUCAGAUGAGCCUAGGUCGGAUUAGCUAGUUGGUGAGGUAAUGGCUCACCAAGGCGACGAUCCGUAACUGGUCUGAGAGGAUGAUCAGUCACACUGGAACUGAGACACGGUCCAGACUCCUACGGGAGGCAGCAGUGGGGAAUAUUGGACAAUGGGCGAAAGCCUGAUCCAGCCAUGCCGCGUGUGUGAAGAAGGUCUUCGGAUUGUAAAGCACUUUAAGUUGGGAGGAAGGGCUGCAGGUUAAUACCCUGCAGUUUUGACGUUACCAACAGAAUAAGCACCGGCUAACUUCGUG